UGAGGUAGUAGGUUGUAUAGUUUGUGGGAUGGAUUGAAUCCUUAUUUUGGUGAUAACUAUACAGUCUAGUGCCUUUCU
ensembl:miRNA gmo-let-7a-4 gmo-let-7a-4